rnacentral:rRNA from 1 species
ACGCUGAAGAGAGGAGCUUGCUCUUCUUGGAUGAGUUGCGAACGGGUGAGUAACGCGUAGGUAACCUGCCUUGUAGCGGGGGAUAACUAUUGGAAACGAUAGCUAAUACCGCAUAACAAUGGAUGACACAUGUCAUUUAUUUGAAAGGGGCAAUUGCUCCACUACAAGAUGGACCUGCGUUGUAUUAGCUAGUAGGUGAGGUAACGGCUCACCUAGGCGACGAUACAUAGCCGACCUGAGAGGGUGAUCGGCCACACUGGGACUGAGACACGGCCCAGACUCCUACGGGAGGCAGCAGUAGGGAAUCUUCGGCAAUGGGGGCAACCCUGACCGAGCAACGCCGCGUGAGUGAAGAAGGUUUUCGGAUCGUAAAGCUCUGUUGUAAGUCAAGAACGAGUGUGAGAGUGGAAAGUUCACACUGUGACGGUAGCUUACCAGAAAGGGACGGCUAACUACGUGCCAGCAGCCGCGGUAAUACGUAGGUCCCGAGCGUUGUCCGGAUUUAUUGGGCGUAAAGCGAGCGCAGGCGGUUUGAUAAGUCUGAAGUUAAAGGCUGUGGCUCAACCAUAGUUCGCUUUGGAAACUGUCAAACUUGAGUGCAGAAGGGGAGAGUGGAAUUCCAUGUGUAGCGGUGAAAUGCGUAGAUAUAUGGAGGAACACCGGUGGCGAAAGCGGCUCUCUGGUCUGUAACUGACGCUGAGGCUCGAAAGCGUGGGGAGCGAACAGGAUUAGAUACCCUGGUAGUCCACGCCGUAAACGAUGAGUGCUAGGUGUUGGAUCCU